rnacentral:rRNA from 11 species
GUCUGCACAGCUUCCUUUACGGUCUCCAAAUUCUAAAGGUGCCAGAUCAUGUCCAGUCUUGGAAACUAAGCAGGGACAGACUUGGUUAGUACUUGGAUGGGAGACCACCAAUGGAUGCCAGGUGCUUAGACC